AGAUGAAACUGGUUCAGGUCAACAAGACUUGUGCUGAACUUUGCAUGGAUGUUGUAUGCAACUACUCCACAUCACUACCGGAUUACCUACAGAAGGAGGACUGUUAUUACAUCUGGAAAUCACAGGAUGAGAUCGUGCUGGACUUUGGAAGGUUUUUGAGUCGUGAUUACUGUGAGAGUGGUAUUCGCUACAUUGUAAGGUGUAUUACUCCAAAAAAUGAGAUAGAGUACAUCUUUAAUGUUCUCAACAGCACUACACCAGCCCCUAAGCCAAAUGGAAUUCAUAUCACCACCAUCUUUGUCACCACCAUCUUCAUCCUAAUGUUGCUGGUCAUUUUGUUUGUAGUCCUGUGCUACAAAAACAGAAGGUCAGCCAGCCGACAGGAUGACAUUGAAGCAGGAAGCACUGAAGGUGAAACUCCUCCACAGAACACCUCAAAUACUGAAAGCGUGGACCCUGGUGAUGCGAGCGCUAAUGGCUUUAUGAACGGUGAUGUUAGACCUGAACAAGCUCGACCACUCCGACUGCAGCCUCACAGUUGAUGUGUGCAGAGUCGUCGAGAGCGAGUGAAGUUACGUUUCAGCUUCAGAACAGUCUGCUUCUGCCUUUUCUACUGUCGCACUUUCCCUACACUUUUGCAUCUGACUAUCGUACCCCAGGUCUGGUAAGGUCGAGAACACUGUGUGUUCCCUGUUUAACACAAACAACAUAUAGCUUAUACAUGUCACGGUUGUGACAUGCAACACCAGCAAGUGACCACUAGGUGUCACCGUGGAGACGAGUAUCGGUUUGUUUCGAAGCCUCGACACAGUUCGGCACAUUGCGUCAGUGUUCCACAAAGCCUCUCUCUGGCCCACUGACAUGCGUACCUGAAGGCGGGGACUGGAAGUCUUCACAGUGUAAAACACACAAACUCAUCCUCACACUCACUGCAGUGGGACUUUAACUGGACCGCUGGAUCUUACGAGUUGAGCGUUUGUUUGUUUUUUUCAUCAAAGAAACAUGAAACUGGUUCAGGUCAACAAGACUUGUGCUGAACUUUGCAUGGGUGGUGUAUGCAACUACUCCACAUCACUACCAGAUUUCCUACAGAAGGAGGACUGUUAUUACAGCUGGAAAUCACAGGAUGGGACUGUGCUGGGCAAGGAAAGAUUUUUGACUCGUGAUGACUGUGAGAGUGGAAUUCACAAAGUUGUACGGUGUCUUAAUCCAAGUUAUGUGAGGGAAUACAUCUUUCACAUUUUCAACAGCACUACGCCAACCCCUGAAGCUGCUAAUAUGCGCGAAAGCAUGUACACCACUGUGAACCCUGACCCUCCCCAAUCUCAAAGCAACACCAUCGUCUCCAUCUCCAUCAUCGUGGUUGCCAUUCUGAUCGUAGGCCUGAUUGUAGGAAUGUGCUACAGAAAACGAAGGGUGAUAGUAGGACUCAGGGAGAAAUUGAUUUGUGGCUGCUGUCAAGGAGCAGAUGAAAAUAACAGGUCAGACAUCCCACUUGGGGACAUUGAACCAAGAAACAAUGAAGAUGAUGCUCAACUGAACACCUCAAAUACUGAAAGCGUGGACCCUGGUGAUGCGAGCGCUAACCGCUUUAUGAACGGUGAUGUUAGAACUGAAGAAGCUCGACCACUCCGACUGCAUCCUUACAGUUGAUGUGUGCAGAGUCGUCGAGAGCGAGUGAGGAUUACGGUUCGGCUUCAGAACUUCUGUCCAGUCUGCUUCUGCCUUUUCUACAGUCGCACUUUGCCGACAGUUUCGCAUCUGGGACACUUUUUAAAUCUGCAUUAAAAUUAAGUAGUUAAACUGAUACUGUGGUAUUAUAGGGCUCUAGAUAAAAGUGUCAUUUUUAAUCAUGACAAAGCAGAUCAAAUUUUAACUUUACACAUUGUUUUUAUACUUUGUAGCGGUAUUUUGGAGUAAAAAUGUAUUUUCAUAUGUAAUACUUGCUAUAUAAAUAACAUUUAUAAGAACUCAUUUUUGCCAAAGAAAGGGAAGAUCAAAGCAAAGAACCCCAAGAUAAAUUAAAAAACUUUUAGCUUCUUUUCUGCACUUUAAAACACUGCACAGCUGUCGGAAUCAAACCUGUAGCAUAGGCUCUUUAAGCUGUAGGUCACCUGACCAUGCCAACAUGACAGAUGUAGUAUGUCCAGAUUGUUUUCAUGCCUACUGCUUAUACUGAUACCUACAUACUGUAUCAGCGGCCGAGCUGUACGUACUGUCAUAUUAUGCAAUUUCAGACACUGGGUGUGUGUGUAUCUCUCAUUCCUGGCUAACUCUUAGGCCACUCAAGACUCGUUCCACUUUAGUUUACUUAUAAGCCCUUUCCUUAACUUGCACUGUAAGGCCCAAACUUUAGACUGGGUCAUCAUCAACUCUACGUUAUCGAAUCGAUGCUAUAAAGAGCACCAAUGGUGCCCAGUGCUGAUUCCUUUUUAUUUUCUCAUUGUGAUUGACCUUUGCUAUCUCCUUUAUUUUUUCUGUCUGUUCUGUAUGUAAUUUAUUUUGUGUGUAAAUUUGUUAGUAUUCUUUAAAUGCUGUCACCAGGUGUAGAGCUCGGCUGUUUGUCUGUUUUGCUUUAUUAUAUUCUUUUUUUUUUUUUUUUUUUUUUACACGGUCGGUGUGUGUGUGUGUGUGUGUGUGUGUGUGUGUGUGUGUGUGUGUGUGUGUGUCUUAGCGGUUAGGGCUCUGGGUUACUGAUUAGGUCGGGGGUUCAAGCCCCAGCACUGUCAAGCUACCACUGUCCCUUGAGCAAGCCUUAACCCUCUCUGCUCUGGGGGCUGACCUUGCACUCUGACCAUAGCUUCUUGACAGGCUGGGGUAUGUGAAGAAAAGAAUUUCACUGUGCUGUAAUGUAUAUGUGAUCAAUAAACACUCAUUAUUCUUAGCAGUGUCUUUUCCACCUUUUAUCCCAGUCAAACUUAUACCUGUUAUCAUCCUCAACCCUAGACUGGGGUGUAUCACUAUCCUCUAUUCCAGAAAAUCUGAGACAGCAAUACUAGAGACACAAUUUUUUAGAAAGUAAAAAGUCUUCUUUUUACAGAAGGAAGGGAAUUGGUGGAGCGACCAAUCAUAACCCUGUAACAUGAAGCCUUCUUUCUACCCCCAAAAUAGUCAAAUUGAACUUGGCUCA
ensembl:lncRNA